rnacentral:rRNA from 1 species
UGGGAAUUUUGGACAAUGGGCGCAAGCCUGAUCCAGCCAUGCCGCGUGCGGGAAGAAGGCCUUCGGGUUGUAAACCGCUUUUGUCAGGGAAGAAAUCUUCUGAGUUAAUACCUCGGGAGGAUGACGGCACCUGAAGAAUAAGCACCGGCUAACUACGUGCCAGCAGCCGCGGUAAUACGUAGGGUGCAAGCGUUAAUCGGAAUUACUGGGCGUAAAGCGUGCGCAGGCGGUUUUGUAAGACAGAGGUGAAAUCCCCGGGCUCAACCUGGGAACUGCCUUUGUGACUGCAAGGCUUGAGUGCGGCAGAGGGGGAUGGAAUUCCGCGUGUAGCAGUGAAAUGCGUAGAUAUGCGGAGGAACACCGAUGGCGAAGGCAAUCCCCUGGGCCUGCACUGACGCUCAUGCACGAAAGCGUGGGGAGCAAACAGGAUUAGAUAGCCCUGGUAGUCCACGCCCUAAACGAUGUCAACUGGUUGUUGGGAAGGUUCCUUCUCAGUAACGUAGCUAACGCGUGAAGUUGACCGCCUGGGGAGUACGGCCGCAAGGUU